CUGCAGUCAAUUAAACUGUGUUCCUUUGCUGUUGGGUGCCCAGUGUUCAGUGGCUGCAAACAGCACUUCCUCCAUAAUGUACACAGGCUGUUGCUUAUAUGGGCUGCCUUAAGGGACCUUGGAGACUAUG
ensembl:snoRNA SNORA70 Small nucleolar RNA SNORA70